rnacentral:lncRNA from 1 species
AUGGAUGUUGAAGCUGACAGAUCUCGGAGGCUACAACCACCCUCACCCUCCAAGACAUCAAAAGAAGGACAGGAUCUGUCUACCAAAUUACGUCUGAAAAUGGAGUCCAUUAGAGUAUAAUCUUACCCAACUAUUGUUUUCUUCAGGAGGAAAUAAUGGAGAGCACAUGCAGAUGCAUCAUAUCAGGCUCCUGUUUCCAGAAUUACAGUCUUAAAGCUGCCAGGACUGUUUAAGAGCAGGGAUGAUCAGAUUGUUCGGCAUAUGAAACACCAUUUUCUGAACAUUUAAGCAGGUGAGGCAGGAGAAUGUGAAACAACUGGCAAAGAGAACUUGAAAUAUUCAAGCAAAGGACUUUUUUUUUCCUUCUCAGCUUUCAAGACAUCCUGUUUUUCCACAAAAUAAAUGAAUCAUAUUUUCUAUUCU